UUGAACGCUGGCGGCAGGCCUAACACAUGCAAGUCGAGCGGGUGAAGGGAGCUUGCUCCUGGAUUCAGCGGCGGACGGGUGAGUAAUGCCUAGGAAUCUGCCUGGUAGUGGGGGAUAACGUCCGGAAACGGGCGCUAAUACCGCCUACGUCCUGAGGGAGAAAGUGGGGGAUCUUCGGACCUCACGCUAUCAGAUGAGCCUAGGUCGGAUUAGCUAGUUGGUGGGGUAAAGGCCUACCAAGGCGACGAUCCGUAACUGGUCUGAGAGGAUGAUCAGUCACACUGGAACUGAGACACGGUCCAGACUCCUACGGGAGGCAGCAGUGGGGAAUAUUGGACAAUGGGCGAAAGCCUGAUCCAGCCAUGCCGCGUGUGUGAAGAAGGUCUUCGGAUUGUAAAGCACUUUAAGUUGGGAGGAAGGGCAGUAAGUUAAUACCUUGCUGUUUUGACGUUACCAACAGAAUAAGCACCGGCUAACUUCGUG
rnacentral:rRNA from 1 species